rnacentral:lncRNA from 1 species
CAUGUAUCCUUGUGGCCACAUAAGCUAUCCAAUUGAAUACCAUGCCUUCCAGUAUUCCUAUUGCGGAAAACAGUAAUCGCUUCGCCAUAUAGAUGGUAUGCUGAUUCAAUGUUAAUCGCUUCUGAACGAACCACAUCUAUUCCAUAAGUGCCUCCUGUACCUCCUAUCCUUGAUAUCGCUCAAGAGACGACAUCCCUCCUUUGAAGUAGCUUCCUGGCCUUAAAUCAUUUGACGCAUCUCCUUCCACCUCAAGCUCUCUAGUUGAUAAAUGCAAG